rnacentral:rRNA from 1 species
GCGCUGUAGGUUGCGGGGUGCAUUUGCAGGUGGUGUGCGCCGAGGCGCUCGGUUUGGCGGCAUGAAGUCGGUUUUGAGGCCAGCUUGCUGGUACCCGGACCGGUGGCAUUGCUGUUCAUUCUGGGUGUUCCCCCCAUUGUGGGCAUGGUUUUCGGGCUCGGGUGGGUGCCGAGCCGGUUGUCGGCGGCGGUCGCAUGCGACACGUGCUGUGCCGUCGGUUCGGUCCUGCAAGAGCUCACUGUGCUCAUUCUCGGUGUAAAAGCUGGUCAUCUAUCCGACCCGUCUUGAAACACGGACCAAGGAGUUUAUCGUAUGCGCGAGUCAUUGGGCGUUCAAAACCCAAAGGCGCAAUGAAAGUGAAGGUAUCCGUACGGAGCCGACGUGCGAUCUCGGACACUGCGGUGCACGAGCGCAGCAUGGCCCCAUUCUGACUGCUUGCAGUGGGGUGGCGGAAGAGCGUAUGCGAUGAGACCCGAAAGAUGGUGAACUAUUCCUGAGCAGGAUGAAGCCAGAGGAAACUCUGGUGGAAGUCCGAAGCGAUUCUGACGUGCAAAUCGAUCGUCUGACUUGGGUAUA